GACGAAGGUGGCAAGCGUUGCUCGGAAUCACUGGGCUUAAAGCGCGCGUAGGUGGCCUGGUAAGUCAGUGGUGAAAUCCCAUCGCUCACCGAUGGAACUGCCGCUGAUACUGUCGGGCUUGAGGACGGUAGGGGAGAGUGGAACUCCUGGUGUAGCGGUGAAAUGCGUAGAUAUCAGGAGGAACGCCGGUGGCGAAAGCGACUCUCUGGGCUGUUCCUGACACUGAUGCGCGAGAGCUAGGGGAGCAAACAGG
rnacentral:rRNA from 1 species